rnacentral:rRNA from 1 species
GAUGAACGCUGGCGGCGUGCCUAAUACAUGCAAGUCGAGCGAACGGACGAGAAGCUUGCUUUUCUGAUUUUAGCGGCGGACGGGUGAGUAACACGUGGAUAACCUACCUAUACGACUGGGAUAACUUCGGGAAACCGGAGCUACUACCGGAUAAUAUUUUGAACCGCUUGGUUCAAAAGUGUAAGACGGUCUUGCUUUCACUUAUAGAUGGAUCCGCGCUGCAUUAGCUAGUUGGUAAGGUAACGGCGUACCAAGGCAGCGAUGCAUAGCCGACCUGAGAGGGUGAUCGGCCACACUGGAACUGAGACACGGUCCAGACUCCUACGGGAGGCAGCAGUAGGGAAUCUUACGCAAUGGGGGAAAGCCUGACGGAGCAACGCCGCGGGAGGGAUGAUGGUCUUCGGAGCGUAGAACUCUGUUAUUAGGGAAGAACAAAUGUGUAAGUAACUGUGCACAGCUUGACGGUACCUAAACAGAAAGCCACGGCUAACUACGUG